UACGUAGGGGGCUAGCGUUGUCCGGAAUCAUUGGGCGUAAAGGGCGCGUAGGCGGCCUUCUAAGUCGAACGUGAAAUCCCCGGGCUCAACCCGGGAACUGCGUCCGAUACUGGAAGGCUUGAAUCCGGGGAGAGGGAUGCGGAAUUCCAGGUGUAGCGGUGAAAUGCGUAGAUAUCUGGAGGAACACCGGUGGCGAAGGCGGCAUCCUGGACCGGCAUUGACGCUGAGGCGCGAAAGCCAGGGGAGCAAAGCGGGAU
rnacentral:rRNA from 1 species